rnacentral:rRNA from 2 species
UACGUAUGUCGCGAGCGUUAUCCGGAAUUAUUGGGCAUAAAGGGCAUCUAGGCGGCCUUUCAAGUCAGGGGUGAAAACCUGCGGCUCAACCGCAGGCCUGCCUUUGAAACUGAUAGGCUGGAGUACCGGAGAGGUGGACGGAACUGCACGAGUAGAGGUGAAAUUCGUAGAUAUGUGCAGGAAUGCCGAUGAUGAAGAUAGUUCACUGGACGGUAACUGACGCUGAAGUGCGAAAGCCGGGGGAGCGAACAGG